GACGAACGCUGGCGGCGUGCCUAACACAUGCAAGUCGAGCGGGGGACUUCGGUCCCUAGCGGCGGACGGGUGAGUAACACGUGGGUAACCUGCCUUGUAGAGGGGGAUAGCCUUCCGAAAGGAAGAUUAAUACCGCAUAACAUUGUCUUUUCGCAUGAAGAGACAAUCAAAGGAGCAAUCCGCUACAAGAUGGACCCGCGGCGCAUUAGCUAGUUGGUGAGGUAACGGCUCACCAAGGCGACGAUGCGUAGCCGGCCUGAGAGGGUGAACGGCCACAUUGGAACUGAGACACGGUCCAGACUCCUACGGGAGGCAGCAGUGGGGAAUAUUGCACAAUGGGCGAAAGCCUGAUGCAGCAACGCCGCGUGAGUGAUGAAGGCCUUCGGGUUGUAAAGCUCUGUCUUCUGGGACGAUUAUGACGGUACCAGAGGAGGAAGCCACGGCUAACUACGUG
rnacentral:rRNA from 1 species